UAGCCAUGCAUGGUCUAAGUAUAAGCAACUAUACGGUGAAACUGCGAAUGGCUCAUUAAAUCAGUUAUCGUUUAUUUGAUAGUACCUUACUACAUGGAUAACCGUGGUAAUUCUAGAGCUAAUACAUGCUAAAAACCCCGACUUCGGGAGGGGUGUAUUUAUUAGAUAAAAAACCAACGCCCUCCGGGGCUCCGUGGUGAAUCAUAAUAACUUAACGAAUCGCAUGGCCUUGCGCCGGCGAUGGUUCAUUCAAAUUUCUGCCCUAUCAACUUUCGAUGGUAGGAUAGUGGCCUACCAUGGUCUCAACGGGUAACGGGGAAUUAGGGUUCGACUCCGGAGAGGGAGCCUGAGAAACGGCUACCACAUCCAAGGAAGGCAGCAGGCGCGCAAAUUACCCAAUCCCGACGCGGGGAGGUAGUGACAAUAAAUACUGAUACAGGGCUCUUUUGGGUCUUGUAAUUGGAAUGAGUACAAUUUAAAUCCCUUAACGAGGAACAAUUGGAGGGCAAGUCUGGUGCCAGCAGCCGCGGUAAUUCCAGCUCCAAUAGCGUAUAUUAAAGUUGUUGCAGUUAAAAAGCUCGUAGUUGAACCUUGGGCCUGGCUGGCCGGUCCGCCUCACCGCGUGCACUGGUCCGGCCGGGCCUUUCCUUCUGGGGAGCCGCAUGGCCUUCACUGGCCGUGUCGGGGAACCAGGACUUUUACUUUGAAAAAAUUAGAGUGUUCAAAGCAGGCCUUUGCUCGGAUACAUUAGCAUGGAAUAAUAGAAUAGGACGCGCGGUUCUAUUUUGUUGGUUUCUAGGACCGCCGUAAUGAUUA
rnacentral:rRNA from 1 species